CUGUCUCCCCUGUCUCACCUGUCUCCCCUCAGGUUGGAAUGAGAACAGUUUCCUCAGCAGCACGGUGAACAGCUCGGCGGGUGAUGUCACACUGCGGUCAGAUUUUACCCAGAAUGCCUCAGUGAGGUCUGUGCGUGGUGGUCGUGGCUCUGCUCUGGUGUACAGCGUGCCGGUUGAGGACGGACAGCCUCGUUACAGCCUGAGGAGUCGGAGGUCGGACGCGCGCUGAUCCUCAGAUCCACUUCAUCAAACGAUUACUGUUUUUUCUCAAAGUGAAUAAAAAGACGUUUAAAUAAAACCAGA